AUGGACCCUCUAGCUGCAGAAGUUAGCUCUCCAUCAGCUAAACAGACUCAAUCAGUACACGCGCCUCCCUCUUUGGGAUUAGGCCCCGCCUCCUCAGCCACCAAGUCAACGUGCACGGAGCCCAGGAGUGCAAACAUGAAGCGUGCAUUGGUGUGUGUGCUGAUGGCUACCUGGAGCCUUGGAUGUGGCAGCCAGACGGUGCACCAGCCAGCAGAGAAUGUGUACGCCAUGAAAGGCGACUCAGUUACGCUGGACUGCAGCUUUGAAAGUUCUGGAAGCAACGACUACAUCUUCUGGUACAAACAGGACGGGCAGGCGGCACCAAAGUUCAUCCUGAGCCGCUUCAAGAUCGGUCAGGGCAAGACUGAGAGCAGCUUUGAAAAGAGGUUGAGCUGCAGCAUCAAUGACACCGCCAAGCGAGCUCCUCUGAAGAUCCAAGACGUGCAGCUGAGCGACUCUGCAGUCUUCUACUGCGCCAUCCAGCCCACAAUGACUGACAUCUCUGCUGCACCCGCACACAAAGCUCUGUGGGCUCCUCAUUCCACUGUGGCUGUUUGA